AUGACAAAACCCAAGUUCAUAGGAGGACUCGGCUUUAGAGAUGUGGAGCUUUUUAACUUGGCGCUUCUUGCCCGACAAGCUUGGAGACUGUUACAAGAACCUGAAACGCUGAGCGCGCGAGUACUCAGAGCCCGCUAUUAUCCUGGCGCUAACAUCUUAGACGCCACUUUGGGCACGCCCCCCUCCCAGGUCUGGCGAUCGCUCUUGGAAGUACGGGAUGUUCUUUCCUUGGGCCUCAUCAGGAGGAUCGGGUCAGGCGCGAGCACCCGAAUCUGGAGUGACAACUGGCUGCCGCGAGAUUUUAAGCUCCGGCCGAUCUGUGCAAGAACAAACGAUCCACCUAUUAUGGUUGAUGAGCUUAACGACCCAGUAACACGUUCUUGGGAUAGGCAAACUCUCAUGGAUCAUUUCAUUACUCCGGAUGUGGAUGUGAUUCUUAAUAUACCUAUCAGCACCCGGUUACAGGAGGAUUUCUGGGCGUGGCACUAUGAUCGACGGGGUGUUUUUUCAGUAAAAUCAGCAUAUAGAAUGAUCACCGCUAUUAAGGCGCAGAGAGAGGACUGGUUAGAGCAUCGGACGGGACACUCUAAUGUUGCUGCAGAUAGGAGAUCAUGGACACAGCUGUGGAAAGCGCAAGUCCCAUCUAAUAUACGAGUGUUCGUAUGGCGACUCGCACAUACAUCGAUCCCUACAUGACAGGUCCGAUUCGAGAGGAAUAUGACGGACAACCCAAUAUGCUCUAUUUGUAAUGCAGCGGAGGACUCGUGGCGCCACUCGCUUCUUAGUUGCAGUAUGGCCAAAUGCGUUUGGGCUCUAGGAGAUGAAGAACUCCUGGAGCAUGUGCUAUCAAACCAAAAUGAGGAUGCAAGGCUAUGGUUGUUAUGGCUGUUUGAGUCCACAAGUUAG
rnacentral:rRNA from 1 species